rnacentral:rRNA from 1 species
GCGGCGUGCUUCAUACAUGCAAGUCGAACGAGAAGCAGGAGCUUGCUCCUGUGGAAAGUGGCGGACGGGUGAGUAACACGUAGGAAAUCUGCCUUUGGGUGGGGGACAACAGUUGGAAACGACUGCUAAUACCCCAUAUGAGCUUGGUUGCAAUACCAAUCUUGAAAACUCCGGUGCCUAAAGAUGAGCCUGCGUCUGAUUAGCUUGUUGGCGGGGUAAUGGCCCACCAAGGCGACGAUCAGUAGCUGGUUUGAGAGGAUGAGCAGCCACAAUGGGACUGAGACACGGCCCAUACUCCUACGGGAGGCAGCAGUAGGGAAUGUUGCGCAAUGGGGGAAACCCUGACGCAGCAACGCCGCGUGAAUGACGAAGCCCUUCGGGGUGUAAAGUUCUGUCAGUAGGGAAGAAUUUUGACUGUACCUACAAAGGAAGCACCGGCUAACUCCGUGCCAGCCGCCGCGGUAA